AUUUUGUCAGACUUCAAUAUUGAUCUGUGGUCAUCCUUUCUUGUUUCACAGGGAAGAUUCUCCUUUGAGCAACUUUCGUCCCCGCGUGAAACCACUGUUCCAAUAUCGUCAUUAUAGGUAAAGAAUUACGGUUUUUUUAUUAUUUUUAUUUUUUAAAAAGAGCCUGCUGUCAUCAAUUGUUUGUGAAUGUCUCUACGAUGCAACAGCAAUAGCAAUGAGAAUAUGUGGUUUUUCCCAAUACUUGGGGUCAACUUCAUGAAUCUUUUUCGGUUGGUCCAUUUGAUCCAAAGUUACCUUUUUUGACUUACGUCAAAUGAUGAAUUCCUUUUGUAAAUGUAUCUAACAGAGUUUUAUUGCUCUUGUGAAUGCAAUUUUUUUUUUCCUGAGCAAGAUAUGCCACAAUCAUCUACAUUAUUUCUUAAUAUAUCCUCAGUUAUCUUCUUUUAUGCAUUCUAGUGUCACGGCGGAUCCUUCUUAAGAUCAUUACUUUUGUAAUGUUCAUCUUAAGAACAUUUGGUAGCCCAACACUUGCUACAAUUGAAGGUAGUUAACCUAAUAGCUGUACAACCUGAAGUGCAUAACUUCUAUUUUCACCCUUUUCAGUUUUCUUAAAAUUAUCCUAUGCAUUUCAUUCUAUUCAAAUCUUCGUUCUUUAUUUAUAAUCAAGCAUAAGCAUCUAAAACAAUCAUCUUCUGUGACACCGUGAUCCUUUUCUUAAGUUUCCUAUUCAUCCUUAUUAAUAGUGUAACAAAAGGACAUUACAUAUAUUCUGACAUAAUUUUACUUAACCCAAAACCCACCAUGAUUCCGUCAAUCAAAUUUAUUGACAAGUAUCAGUGAUGAGUAUGUUUUGAUAUUACUUCUUGUGGUAACUAUGUUUCAUCUAUAUAACAAAUUUACAUUAAUUUAGAUACUGUUCCUAUAUAUUGUGAUUUAUAACCACUGCAAACUAUUUUCAUUUUAUAGUCAGCAAUUAGAAUUUAAAAGAACCGAAGUAUGAAAAAACAUAUCUGUAGACACUUGCAACUUUUUUUCUUAAGAUAAUGCUUAGGUCUAUUGGUGUACUGCAUGCAUAUGCGUAUACAUGCACUCUGUGUACUUUUUAUGUAUCUGUGGAUGUGUUGGUUUUAAUUGCUUUCUAUCUAACUUUGCAUACAUCAGUGAGCAACAACCCUUGCGAUUGAAUGCUGAGGAGAUAUGUGAGGUUAUCGCAGCAGUGUGCACGGAAACUCCUUCGACAAAUUCUAAUCUCACAACAAUCUCGUCUAAGUUAAGCAACAAUGGAAGGCCAUCUCUUGACGUGGCUGUGAGCGUUCUUGUCAAACUUAUAAUUGACAUGUAUGUUCUGAUGCAUUUUGUUUAUACUAUAAGACUUCAUUGAACUUUGUCUUUCUCCAUUUAUCAAUGAGUAGUGACACUUCAUGGUAUAUAUUUAUGGAAAGGAGACACUAUCAUUAUCCAGUACAGAAGUUAGAUCCUUUCUGUACCCUUUCUGGGUGUCUCGUUCAAAUUGCGUUCGAUGUUGUCGUCAACAGGACGUAUCUGAUCUUCAAUAACUUUCUUGGUUUAAAGUCUCUAUUUGUUCAUUGCCACAUAAUAUGAUUCAAAUUCUCCAUGCUCUCGUAUAAUAAGUCAAAUUUUGACUUCUGCUAAGUAAAGGAAAAUAAAUUUAUGCUCUUCAUCUAUUAUGCUAUUUCUUGACUGCAGACAAUUCUAACACCCCCCCCCCCCCCCCCCGGAUCUUGUUUUCCUGCUGAUCUUUUCUAAUUCCUUUUUGUAGGUACGUUUUGGAUUCUGUGACUGCUGCUCCUCUAACUUUAUCGAUACUCGAGGUGCUGCAUACUUUGCACUUGUUUUUUGCAACUCGUAGUUAUAGCUAAUUAUUUGCACACAAAUUAUUGUAGGAUAUGCUAAAUUCUCCAAAAGUGAUGUCAAGGGCUCAAGCUUUUGAUUUAAUUUUGAACCUCGGAGUUCACGCACAUUUAUUGGAGCCUCCAGCACCUGAUGACACCUCUGGAAUUGAAGAAGAGUAUUUGCACGAACCAUAUUUCGAAAAUGAAACUCAACUUUCUUCGCAAGGAAAGAGAAUAUUAGACAAUUUUAAGAAAAUGGGGAAUUCUUCAGCUAUUGAUAAGUUUGAGAAUUGGAUUCUGGGCAUUCUCUAUGAGGUUCUUCUUCAUCUUGUUCAGGUAUAUGUGAUAUUUAUUUAUGGCAUGGCAGAAUUUUACAGUAAUUUGGCACCCUUUUUUUUUUUUAAUAACCCUUUGGUGAUGGGGAAGGGGCUUAAUUUACUUGUACAUAUUUGAAUCAAACAUAAAGGGCUGCAUCCAUACAAACUUAAUGCUUAUCGCUGUGUUUCAGCUGACAGAAAAUAUUCAUGGGGAUAUUAUGAACUUGUACACACAAUAAUACUCAUUUUUAGUCAAUGAAAUGAAUAUUUCAUUAAAAUUUCUAAUGACACUCAUGUCAGCUUCAAUUCUAUAAAAUAAUUAAUAUGCGUCUCUCGGAAUUGAAACUCAAAAAGACACUUGGAUAAUUUCAUAUAAUAAAAUAGAAGUUUGAAAUUUGAAUUCAGGAAAUAUCUAUGAGGUUGUUAACUGCACAAGAGAAGUGAGGAAGUAAAGAAGACACGAAAUUUGUUGGGUUUUUAACAAAAGAGAAGAACUCUAGUUAGAUUUAGGCUCAACUGUUGAUCAUUAAUAAACAGAUGAAAGACUGAUUGGAUUUUUGUAUUGAAUGACAAAUAUGACACCAUCGCUUUUUUUUUUUUUUUUUUUUUAAUUGAUGUUAUCUAUUUACCUAGGUUAUGAUUCCAAGAAUGGACCAAACAAGUCAACAUUCAUUUUCUUUUAUAGACAAUCAAUAUUUCUUGUAAAUCCUCCAUUUCUCCUACAACCAGGCAUGUGUAUCAACUCUAUUCAUUUUUCAAUCCCAUGCUCAAGCAUCCCAAUUGCUUCAUAUUUUGUGCUCUCUCUGUAUGUGUGAUAUAAUGGUACACAUGUUAAAACGGAUGUCUAGAUGGUACCACAUAGCUGCUAUAUUAGUCUAGAAUUUUAUCUGAUUGGUUGUAGUAAACUUCUAAUUUCUGCAUUUGUUUGAUUCAUAUUUAUAGGUUGUGCUGCACGUUUCAUGUAUUGUCGUUGUCUAAUACAUGCUUAUUUCUCAGAUUGAAGAGAAGGAAGAAUCUGUCUGGGCUUCAGGUUUAAGUUGUUUACUCUAUUUUGUUUGUGAUAGAGGGAACAUUCGAAGAAGCAGAUUACAAGGUCUUGAUAUUAGAGUGAGUAUUUUUACGCAUUGUUUUGAUAUCAUCUGUGAGCAGAUAAGGUUUAUAUGCAAUUCAAUUUUGGAAUCAUUGUACUACAGACUAUAUUAAGUGGGAGUAUUCUGCGUUAUGAGAAGGGGAAAGCUCUCUUAGUUACAUCUCACGUAGAACUUGUUUAAAUUCUGGAUGGGAUGUUUUGAUAUGAAAGGAAAGUGUUUGGAGAACAGAAUGACUAGCAAAAGGGAAUGGCUUCCUCCCACCUUAAUAAUAUCUUAGGUUAUUGACAAAUUGGUGAAUGCUGAAAUUCCUUGUGAGAAGGCAAAAAGGGAAGGGGGAACUUUCAGUUACUUGAAAUCUUUACAUUCUCUUGUUAAAUAAAAUUACCAUUAAACUAAAGAUCUUUCAGUAUUAUCAAAUUCUGAGUUGAUCAAUGGCGAUAUCAUAGAAAUUGAAUUGUUAGGAUGAGAAAGUUCCUCACGUUAGUUUUCUAAACCUCGUAAAAGAUCAGAUAUUUCUUGAAAAUACUCUAUAUUGAUUGAAUGAAAGGGAUUCAUACAGUUAGUUGCAGAUGAGUUGGCAAAAGCAACCUGAAUGGUUUUCCUGGCUUCUGGUUAGAAAACCUUAAAAUUUAAUGAAGUGUUGGUUAUCUGAUGAUGAAAUCUGCAAGGAUUAUUCCUUUCAAAGCCUUCAAAUUACCAAACGCAAAGAGAGGAUGUCAUUUGUCUGUAAUCUUCUACUACUGGGUGUCUGUUAAUUGAAAGAAAAGGAUGGUCACUGACUUACCGGUAGUUUAUUUUUUAACGAUUAUUAUGGACUUACAGACAAUUGAUAAUUUUGUGUUUUAACCAAUGGAACCAUAACCUGAAAGAAUAAAAUGUUAAGAGUGGUUUACCAUUCGUCUAUGGUACUGGAAGCUUGGCACAUGAUGGCUUCAUUGGUGGUUAAAUAGGCAGAUUUUCAGCAUCUCACCCAAACAUGAAAUGAGAUGGAAUUCCUCUUCGUUAGCCAACCAAAGCAUCUUUAACGAAUGUUUUUUCCUCAAUAUUCAAUAAAUUUUGAUGUGCAUGGCCAAUAAAUUUUAUUUUGUGUUUUCUACUCCUACCUUUUACUAUUCCAAUAUUGACUACAUCUACUCUUACUUUACUCACAGGUUAUUAAGGUACUCAUACGGAUUAGUAGAAGAAACUCUUGGGCAGAAAUCGUUCAUUGCAAGCUUAUUUGCAUGAUGACAAACAUGUUUUAUCAAGUUCCUGAAGGGCCUGAUAAAGUUGUUUCAGCUACUCCAAUCUUUCUUGUUCAGCAGUUUGAUCUGAUUGGAGGGAAUGAGUUUAUAUUUGAAGAGGUAAUAUGCGGAGCAUCUUUUUAAGAGAGUUCAUAUGCUGCAUUAUGAAUGAACUAAAAUAUGUUGAAGGGAAUUUUGCGUAUUCAAAUAUUUACUAGAAAUUAUUGGAUAUAUUUUUCUACCAUAGUUGGAAAGAUCUUACAUCUACGUAUAUUUGGGCUGCAUGUGGAGAUUUGGCUGCUGGUUAAUACUAUAUUUCACAAAAUUUCAAAUUCUUGUGGAUGAAAUCAUAGAUGAUAAAGAAAAUCCGUGCCCUCUCAUUCAUAUAUUGAGUAUGCUCACCCCGAAAAAAAUAAAAGAAUUCUUCUUUGAUAUUCACUUGGACAAGAAGAAAGUAAUUCACAAAGACCAAGUUUUUGGAAGUCUUCUAUGGAAUAGGGUCAGAUCCAACUGAGUUAUGUUAUAUUUCAUAUUGUACUGCCACCGUGACUUGAAAUUUCAAGCUCUUUUUCUAGUUACAAUUGUUUGAAGACAGUUGAAGCAAAUAAAUUCAUUCCUUCUCGGACAACUUAAUAUUUAAGAUCAGCUACUUAGGAUUCGUACCAGAGCACGUAUCCUUUGAAGCUUGGUCCUUGCUUUGGAUGGGCUAACCUGUGAUUGGCAGGUUCUGAUUCCUGAAGAAGACUGACUUUUUAGGUAAGGAAUGGAAAUUCUUAGCACUUCUUCUUGGCCUGAAAAGGCAGUGGACCAACCAUCUUAAAUCCAAAGCUAUGACCUCCCCGAGCCCAAUUAUUUAUUAAGGUCUUUUACUGGUUUCAUUAAGUCACCGGCUAGAAAAUGCAGGUUACCAUGGAUGUUAAUUCCAAAAAGAAAAGUGAAUUGUAACAACUCUAUUCCUCGUCAUUGGCAAAUUGAUGUUCCAAUAUCUUGUCACCCCCCCCCCCCUUUUUAUUAGACUUUCGCAUUGAACUUAUAAGUUAAUUGGGCACCCUGUCCUUACAAGCCAGUUUUAAGGGUUCUGUCCAAUGUGAUUGUAAUAAUGGUACGAAUGUAUGAGAGCACAACAAAUUCUCCAGAAGCUAGUAUGGGAGUAUGUUCUCUCCUCCAGAAGUGACUCAGGAAAAGUUGAUCUCAAGUCUCGCCACCACUCAUUUAUGGAAGCCAUUUAAAUCAUGGGAGGUGUUGAAGAUAAAUUUUAAUUAAAUAAAUAAAUUUGUCUCGUCUCUAAAUGCUUAAUAUUUCAGAUGAUGUGGUUGAAUGACAUAGAACACAAGUAGAAGUAUGAUUGCAUGUAUAUGAUCUGUUUCAUCAUUUAACUCCAUCUUGCUACUGUUCAGUUUUCUCUUCUGAUCAUUUCUUUCUUUCAUAAUUUGAACUGUAGCAAUCCAUUUAAAUGGAUCACAUGUUAGGACGAUAGGUGGAAAAUAACUUGUUUAUUUCUCUUAAUUCGACCUUCUUUUUUUGUGUGUGUUCUCUCUUGAGGCCUUUCCUCUUUUCCAUGUCACUCACUCUCUCUGGCCUUUAUAUUUGAAUAUAUAAUCUAAAACAAUGAAGAAUUUCUAUUAUUAACGAGGUGUUCAAGUUGCAUAGGGAUCUUUAUCUUAUUUCUUCUGCUACAUUACAUCACAGUUCUAGUUUAGUUUUAGUUAAGUAGUUGCACAUUUGCUUUGGAUUCAUAUCUAAGUAGCUCUGAACUGAAACCUGUUAAUGUUUACUGUGGGUGUGGAGGCCCUUGGAUCAGUAGAUAGGAUGAACUGAUGACUCUACAUUAUAGUGAAUUUCUUUUAACAGAUCAGUUAUAUAGAAGAGAUAUAAAUAUCUUCUUAUACGUACAAGACCCCAAAAAGAAGACUUCCAGAAGUCCCGCUUUACUCAGUAAUGCAUUUAUAUAGACAUUAUAAAGAAUUAUUCCCUGAAUUAAACAUCCACAAACCACAAGCAUUUAAUAGAUGACAAAGAAUGUUUUAGAUGUGUAUAUUUCUUUUUAUUUACACCAUAAUAUUUCAGUCUAAUAGCCUUUGCAUGAUGCAAUGCAAUUGCACUUGAUGCUGUCAAUAUAUAUUAUCAUACCAAUGUUAUUAUAAAAACUGUUACUUCUGAAAGCAUUGAGCUGAGUUGCUAUGGUGGUUCAGUUACUACUCUGUGUUUUUGAAGUCGGUAGGAUCCAUUUAUAUUUUUAUUUUCAAUGAAAUUUUUGUUGAUGGAAAUGGAAGUUUCCUGUGUUUGAAAUCGCUUUUCUGCAGAGUAGUUACAGUGACCUUCAAAACAUGAUAAUGUUCUUGGUGAAUGAUAACAUUGUCCUGUUUGAUCUAAAUUAUCAUAUAAGCAUUAAUGUGUGUUUUCAGACUCUUCUAUGGUCCUAAAUCAAAAGACUGGUACUAACCUCAAGUUGUGGGGUUGGUAAUAUCUGCUCUCAAUCAUUUGAAUUUUUCUAUGCAAACAAUGGGAUUUCUGCUGGAUCUAUCCCAUUUUGGGGGUUAACCAAAGAGGUUCAUUACCUGAGUUUUAAACUGAAAUUUGGAUUCAAUUUGGAUUUAUAAUCCGUUUUAUUAAUUUCAUUUGAUAGCAAUUCAAUGAUAGCACACCUGUAUAUAUUUCUGAAUUUACAGUUAUGAUUUUAUAAAUGCAGUUGGUGCUUUCAAACUCAAGAGAAGAACGGAGAAAUCUGUAUCUGGUUCUUUUUGAUUAUUUAUUGCAUAAGAUAAAUGAGACAUGUAUAGCUUCUGGAGUGUCCGAGUACAGUGAUGAUGAGGUUCAACCUAUUGCUACCUUACUCAUGCUUGCAGAUGCACCUGAAGCUCUGCAUUUAUCUGUCAAGUUAGGAGUUGAAGGCAUGGUGGAGCUAUUGAAAAGAUCAAUCUCUACAGCAUUGUCCAGAUAUCCUAAUAAUGAUCGGCUUAUUACAGUAAUGUUCCACGCCUUUAACAUUUUCAUCUGCAUGAACUAGAGCUUAAUAUUUCUUUUUAGCUUGUGAGAAAAGACUAGGGAAUAUAUCCAAAAUUGUUAAUUGAUUUCAUAUAUCCACACAGUACUCAACAGUUGUUGUAUGCAUUUUUGUUCUAGUCUCAAUGUCUUCAUGAUAUUUGGUGUUUUUUCAGACAGGGACUGUAAUGCCUGUGGUCUGUUCACUCAGAAUUUCCCCAUGCAUUUACUAUGGGAAAUAGGGGUAGAAGGCUGUAAAAGAAAAAUAUAGAAUAACUUCAAUUUAAAAUCUGUACCUUGAAAUGGCGAGUAGAAUCGGUUGGUUUGAGGACAUGGAACUUGAAUGAAAGUAAUCUUGCACUUACUCAACAUAUUUGCUUGCUUGUGAUCUACAUGUCUUCUUCCCUCUAACUGUGGCCACAUAUAGCCUUAUAAAUAGCCAUGACAUUUAAUGUUGAUGUGUAAAGUCUGAAUAUAACCUUUUUCUGCAUUUCAAGUUGAUUGUAUUUACCUUUGCUGUGUCAUCUUUAUAAGUGGACUUCAAGCAAUUGCAUGUCUAUGCAUCUAAACUUGUGGAAGUCUUACUUUGUUCCUAUCUAUCUUCUGAUUCUUUAAACCUAAGGAAUGGCAUUUAUCGUUAAGUUGUACGCCAUUAUUUUCUUUCUAAUAAUUUGUUUCGAAGGUGGAUUUGUUUGGUUUGACUUUUUCUGGCCCUUCUCCUCAUGGGAACAUGCAUGUACCUGUUUGUGUGUAUAUGCAUCCAAAAGACGAAUUACAUGACCUUUAAUUGUAUUCGAAUUCUGUUUUCUCUUGCAGCUUUUGCAGAGUAUGGUAGAGAAGUUUGAUAUGCUCAUGAGAUCAUUUACUUGUCUAGACACAGAAUUUACCCAAAUGGUUCAAAUGACCAAAUCAUUCAAGUCUUUAGAAAGCAUUGAUGAAGUUCACGUAAACAGUGUUGGCAUUAAAGCAAAGCUCUCUUGGGCUACUUUACAUUCUCUUCUUCAUUCUGAACGAUCUGCUUAUCGGCACAAUGGUUAUCUCUGGUUAGUAGAUUUGCUCAUUGCAGAAAUAAGUGAUGAAGGGGACGAGAGCCUGUGGUUGAGCAUACAAACCUUGGAGCAAAAAAUAAAAAUUGCUGGUGUUAAUGAUUAUUCAGCUUCUUUAGGUGUUCCUUUACCCAUUUGGCUUAUGUGUGGGCUUCUAAAGUCAAGAAACAAUCUUGUCAGAUGGGGUUUUCUACUUGUUCUAGAGAGGCUGCUCAUGCGAUGCAAAUUUCUGUUAGAUGAGAGUGAAGUUCAACAUGUUAUCAGAAGUGAAGCUUCAGGCCACAUGCACGCCAAGAAUCGUCUUGAAAAAGCAAAUGCUGUGAUAAACAUUAUGAGUAAUGCCUUAUCCUUGAUGGCCCAAAGAAACGAGACUGAUCGUAUGAAUAUUUUGAAGGUAAUGUUACCUGAAUCAUCUCAAACCUGUUGUGACAGUCUGUAACUGUUUCAAAGUUACCGUUCUUUUCACAGCUAGAACUUCCAUUUGGAUGCUAUCUAUUUUGGCCUAAUGAUGCAUUUACAUUAUUGGAUUGGCAUAACACUGAAGCAGAUAAAGGUCGCAUUUAUGAUUUAUCAGUAUCUGCUGUCCAUAUUCUCUGCAUUGACCAUUUUGAUAUUCAAAACAUAUUAUAAAUACCUCUUUUCCUGAAAAGUAUAAUAAUAAAAUUUUUUUAGUUGUAUAUUGAUGAUUGCCCAAAUAUUUUUGUAGUGGUGGCAGCCUUUUCCCCCUGUUGUCAUGUUAAAUGGCUGAACAGUCUUUGGUUGGGUGGAUGGUUGCACCGUACUGUUAAAAUACCCUUCUUAGUGGCACAUCUUUCCAAUUGCUAACUUGAGCUUUGAUUUUGUGCAUUAGUUGUUGUAGUCUGAAUUUUCCAUGUUCUCAUCAAAACUUUGGAAAGCAAAAUGACAAUCAGUAAAACUCAGGUUCCCCUUCCCAGUACUCUUCAGAGGAACAAAAAGGUGAAAAAAGGGCAGUUGCGAGCCAAUAUAUGGUUUUCAUUUAUUUGCUUGAUUCUCUUAUAUGCUGACAUUUGAUUUUAUGUUUGCGCACGCUGCAUGCAUGUCUGAAUCAUAUUUUUCUCCUUUAUAAACUUACAUAAUUAUCUUUCUUGAUGUCUUUGAGCAGAUGUGUGAUAUUCUAUUUUCACAAUUGUGCUUGAAAGUAGUCCCUACAACCGCGAUGCUGUUCGGAGACACAAAGAUUCAUGAUUCUAGUAGCUCAGAACGGAAUAAAGCAGGGGCGGAAUCUCUCUCUCAAAAAGAGAAUCUUGGCCGGGAAGAAUCCAUGGGGGAUUCUGACAGCAAGAUUGGCAAAAGUUUUAAUCCUAAAAUCUGUGGUACUGCAUCGAUGGCAGCACUGCUGCUUAAUGGACAAGCAAUUGUACCAAUGCAAUUAGUUGCACGCAUUCCUGCUGCUUUAUUUUACUGGCCUCUCAUCCAACUUGCUGGAGCUGCAACAGACAAUAUUGCAUUGGGUGUCUCUGUUGGUAGCAAAGGAAGAGGGAAUAUACCAGGUGCCACGUCAGAUAUACGGGCUACCCUUCUCUUACUUCUAAUUGGUAAAUGUACAGCAGACCCUGCUGCUUUUUCAGAUGUUGGCGGUGAACAGUUCUUCAGGUAACUUUGUAGUUAUAACUUUACUCUUGUAUGUGGAAGUCACAUUCCUUUUUAUAUAUGUUUAUGAAGGAGUUUUACAUCAAUGGAUAUUCGGCAGGGAGUUGUUGGAUGAUACAGACGCAAGAGUGGCAUACUACUCUUCUACCUUUCUUUUGAAGGCAAGUGUUUGUCGUCUUUUGCUUACCUUGAGGUCUGAAAUGUUCAAGCUAUUGCAUUGAAUUGAUUUGAAAUUUAAAUUUGGCAGAGAAUGAUGACAGAGGAACCAGAAAAUUACCAACGGAUGCUUCAUAGUCUUGUUUCAAGAGCUCAGCAGGUGCAUUCUUAUUUGAUAUUUCAUCUGAAGAAUACGUGGCAUUUCUUGAAAACUAUUGUUACUUAGGAACAUAGUUUAAAGAGGCGUGAUUGGAGCCCGCCUCAGUCUGAGGCUUGAAUAUUUAAGGGGGAGAAUGAGGUUUAUGCCUUUAGUGGUUGAGGAGGUGCAAGCCUCAAAAGUGAGGCGUGUGACUCUCCUUAAAUAUCUUGGGAACUAAUUUUUUUUAAAGUUCUCGUCUUACAUUGGUUGACUUCAUUCGAAAUCCAAUAUAUAUUAAAAUGGCAUUGGGAAUCUACCAAAAUUUUAAUAAAAUCUUACCAAAGUUCAUUGAAUAUCUGCUACAAAUUAUCUUUUGGAAUCCAUUAUAUUUCAAAACCUAAUUAAUUUCUUUUAUUAUAUAUUACGCGUCAUAAAUAAAAAUACGUUACAAGUUCAAACACACAGAACAAGUAAAACAACACUACAACCCUAGAAUUGCAUCAUUGUGAUGACUGCUCAUUCGGCGGAGGAGACAUCACUCCGGCGGAGACUUGAUUGCAUUGGUACUUUAAAUUGUUCUAUUAGAAUUUGAAUAGUAUAUGUUUAUUUUUGUAAUUUUGUACUUUUUUUGCUAAUUUUUUGUGCACAAGUCUUGUGCCUCAAGGCUUACGUCUCACUUCACGAAGGAACAAUGCCUCUGUAAGCACUGCCUAGGAAGUGCCAACACUGACAUGGACACACCUACAUACAACUUUUCAAAAAGCAUAGACAAUGCGUACCCCACAUGACAACUAAAAUAAUAUUUUUAUUUUAUUUUCAUAUUGUGAAGUAAAUUUAUAUUUGUGAAUUCUGGUGUGUCGACCAUAUAUCUUUUAGCCUGUUAAUGUAUCGGUGACAUGUCCAUCUCUACAAAGUAAAAAUAUAAUUUGAAUUCACCACCUGGCAUCAUUGGCAUGUGUUGGCGAUGUGUCAAUGUCCCACACGAUUUAUCUACCUGCUUGUGUGUCGGUGAAAUCUCUAAUUCAACAAAAAAAAAAAUAAUUUGAAACAUGCCGCCUGACAUCAUUGACCUAUGUUGGUGACAUGUAUAUCCUAGCGUGUUGGCAACAUGUCCAACUAUACAAAACCAAAAGCAAUUUGCAUUUAGGUGACACACGAUUAUCUCCCAGAUUAUCAGCAAUGUGUCAUAACAUUGUCCAACUACACAACAAAAUAAUAAAUUGGAGAUAGCACAUGGUGUUUGAGAUGAGCGUUAGUAUCAUGAUGCUACUCAGCAGCACCAGGAGGGUUGUUGGUGCUUCCUUGAUUGUUACUUAAUUGUGUGUAGGAACACCGUUUGUGAAGGCCAGUACUAGGUAGCAGUAUCCUAUAAAUAGCCGCCAGAGAGUAAACAAAAUGAACAGUAGAAUAUUCAGAAUGGAAAACUCAAAAGUUUAUGCUUCAUCAUUUGUCCUCUGACUUGGUGACCUAGCUGAGUUGAAAAUGAGGUAGAUUAUAUUGAUCACAUUAAGGAUUUUGCAUUUUCUGUUGCCACUGCAUCAAAUCUACCAUUUUUGCAACUUGACUCUGCCAAGAUUAUCAGAUUUCUGAUGACCUUAUAUAGAACUCGUCCAGCAACGAGUGAUUGCAUUAGCUUCCCGAUGUAAGUUUUCUAAGUCACUCAGUUAUGCCAGGUUAUUUUAAUUUGUGAACCUGAUAUCUUAAGCAACAGUCAUAACGCACUCCUUUCUUGCUUCAUUUUCUUCACUCUACUUCGAAUCCUUGAAUGCACAAGCAUUGUUGUCUACAGUUGAUGGAGCAUUAUCUUUAAAAUAAAAUAUCUGAAUGAGAAAACUGAUUGUUUUACUGACCUGUACGAAAGUUGGGAGCAGCACAAACUGGACAGGCGGUGAUGUUGGCUCUUUUUUUUUUUUUUUUUUUUUUUUUUUUUUUGACUAUUUUGUCAGUUUCUUGAAAGUGAAAAUGUAACCAACUGUAAUAUCACCUUUUAGUCAAGAAUCCAUACUCAGGAAAAGCAAUGAACAAGAUAGGUUUUCGUUCUAUUGUUUAUUAAACUAUUUCAUCACUCUUUUGAUCUAUCAACUUACAUCAUUUGUUUAUGGUAAGGAGACCAUAUUGAUCGUUCCUCUCUAUAGCAUGUGUAGUAACAUUGAACCAUUUCAUUUUAUGAUUGUCAAGAAUUCAAACAAAUGCUUAAGGUUUAUGAAUCUCUUUACAGAGUAACAAUGAAAAGCUGUUGGAGAAUCCCUACCUUCAGAUGCGUGGCUUACUUCAGCUGUCAAAUGAAUAAUUUGGAAGCUCUGAGUUGUGCUUGAUUUGUUUGGUUUCAUUUGGAGAAAUUUAUUGCUCCGUGCUCCUGAUGAUCAAUGUAUUCUGGUGGGGCAAUCCCUGGUUAGAUUGUGAAUUAGUGAGAUACAAGAUGCUUAAAGAGGCUUCAAUUCACAACUUAUUCCAUGCAGCCAAAUUGAAAUCAACAGAACAAGGUGCUUAUACAUUAAACUUGGCCACAUUCUGUCUGCCGUUGUAUAUUCUUCAAGAGCCUCCGUUAUGCUGCAGUUGGGAUCACAUUAAGAGAGUUCCAUCUAUUGGUUGAAAUGAUGAAAAAUCACUUAUACAUAUGAAAAAUAAAGCUUUGCAUUCGUUUGAAGUUUAUGAAUUGGCACUUUUGUGCGUACAGUUGCCAAAGCACAAACAUCCAGGUACUUCUGUUCAAAUAUGCUCUUUCUAUUAAAUUCCCAUAUUUUCAAAAUGUUGGAUGUGACGAAAAGCCUUUCCAAUUAUGAAUUUUCUUGUUCAUUACCGUUUAAUAACUUGUGUUAGUAAUAACUAUUUGCAAUGUUUAAUUUUGUUCAACUGUGCUUUUUUGGCCCUUUCAAGAACACUCCUCUUCCCUCAUGGAGCUUUUGGAUCAAAGCUGCUUGAUUUAUUUCUCUGUAAUUUUCUUACAGCGUGAAAAUAUGUAUAUGUAUAUAUUGGUAUUCAGUGCAAGUUUACACAACUUUCUUCCUGAUGAUUCUCUGUUGUCUUUUUCUAAGUGGAAGGCAGUAUAUUGGCAUGUCGCUGCUGAGGAUAUUAAUGGAGUCUUCGAUAAAAAGAAGAUUUUCAUUUUGUCGUUCUAAAGGACAAUAUUCUUUGGACGAAGCUCAAGAUAGUCACUCACUCACUCACUUCUUAAUGGUAGAAGCUCAGCCGAAGGAUUGGGAAAAUCAAGACAAUAGAUGAAAGCAGAAAGAUGAACAUCUCAUUGCAGGUGAAGUCUCUCAAUAGGGCACAUUGGUACAUAUUUUUUUAAAUAUUGGUAGUGUUUACUGGUUUUUGUAGUUUUGCUUUUCUUUGUGUAGGCAUUUUGCACUCCCAAUUCUCUUUAGCUUACAAAAUUACACCAGAUGCAAGAGCAUAAAAUAUUAUACUGUCACUGUGGUAUAAUUGCUGUUGAUUGUAACAUGCAUAUUAAUUAUAUGUUUGUAUUUUUGUGCAUGAAAUUUCAAAUUUAAUGCUCCGGGUUCGACUCCCUUAUAUUGUGUAUAAUUUUUCAGAUGACAUGAUAUAUUAUUUCACUACAUAAUUUUUAGUUCCAAUUUGGA
rnacentral:lncRNA from 1 species